UACGUAGGGUGCAAGCGUUGUCCGGAAUUAUUGGGCGUAAAGAGCUCGUAGGCGGUUCGUCGCGUCGGCUGUGAAAACCCGGAGCUCAACUCCGGGCCUGCAGUCGAUACGGGCGGACUGGAGUGUUGCAGGGGAGACUGGAAUUCCUGGUGUAGCGGUGAAAUGCGCAGAUAUCAGGAGGAACACCGAUGGCGAAGGCAGCUCGCUGGGACGGUACUGACGCUGAGGCGCGAAAGCGUGGGGAGCAAACAGG
rnacentral:rRNA from 1 species